AGAGUCUCGUAGAGGGGGGGUAGAAUUUCCAGGUGUAGCGGUGAAAUGCGUAGAGAUUCUGGAGGAAUACCGGUGGCGAAGGCGGCCCCCUGGACGAAGACUGACGCUCAGGUGCGAAAGCGUGGUGAGCAAACAGGAUUAGAUACCCUGGUAGUCCACGCUGUAAACGAUGUCGAUUUGGAGGUUGUGCCCUUGAGGCGUGGCUUCCGGAGCUAACGCGUUAAAUCGACCGCCUGGGGAGUACGGCCGCAAGGUUAAAACUCAAAUGAAUUGACGGGGGCCCGCACAAGCGGUGGAGCAUGUGGUUUAAUUCGAUGCAACGCGAAGAACCUUACCUACUCUUGACAUCCAGAGAACUUUCCAGAGAUGGAUUGGUGCCUUCGGGAACUCUGAGACAGGUGCUGCAUGGCUGUCGUCAGCUCGUGUUGUGAAAUGUUGGGUUAAGUCCCGCAACGAGCGCAACCCUUAUCCUUUGUUGCCAGCGGUUCGGCCGGGAACUCAAAGGAGACUGCCAGUGAUAAACUGGAGGAAGGUGGGGAUGACGUCAAGUCAUCAUGGCCCUUACGAGUAGGGCUACACACGUGCUACAAUGGCAUAUACAAAGAGAAGCGACCUCGCGAGAGCAAGCGGACCUCAUAAAGUAUGUCGUAGUCCGGAUUGGAGUCUGCAACUCGACUCCAUGAAGUCGGAAUCGCUAGUAAUCGUAGAUCAGAAUGCUACGGUGAAUACGUUCCCGGGCCUUGUACACACCGCCCGUCACAUCCAUGGGAUGUGGGUUGCAAAAGAAGUAGGUAGCUUAA
rnacentral:rRNA from 1 species